rnacentral:tRNA from 7 species
GGAGGGGUUCCCGAGUGGCCAAAGGGGGCAGACUGUAAAUCUGUUGGCACCGCCUUCGAAGGUUCGAAUCCUUCUCCCUCCA